CGUUCUGGCUGACGCACCAGGAUGAACAACUACCUAGGGGGAACCUUAGCAAGGUAUUUCGCUUAAGUUAAUUAGCGAUGAAGAAAUCAAGUCGUGCGUAGUUAGCGCUUUACUAGUUAACCUCACUACGGAGUAUGGAUAAUAUUUCAUAAAAAUGUUCUUGCGAGAUAUAAAUAAUGACUGUAUUUCGAUGCAAAAGUCUUGACCAAAUUACGUGCCAGCAGUCGCGGCAACACGUAGAAGACACGCGUUAUUCAUCUUUAUUAGGUCUAAAGGGUACCUAGACGGUCAAUUCAGUCUUAAAAGGAUACGCUUUGACUAGAGUUAUAUUAAGGGUUUCAGAAUUAUAAGAGGAGGAUUAAAAUGCUGUGAUACUUUUUAGGACUGGUAUUGGCGAAGGCAAUCUCUCGAGUAUAACUGACGUUGAGGGACGAAGGCAUUGAAAACGAAUAGGAUUAGACACCCUUGUAGUCUUUGCAGACAAUGAUGAAUGCCAUAAGUUGGGAAAAUAGGGGUAUAUAUACAAAAUUAGAUAGUAAUAUCUAAAGUAGUAUAAUCAGAAAGUAGAGCCCACUGCUCCCUUAAUAACAAUUUAUAAAUGAAAGUGUAAGCAUUUCACCUCAAGAGUAAUGUGGCAACGCAGAAACUGAAAUCAUUAGACCGUUCUUGAAACCAGUAGUGAAGUAUGUUAUUUAAUUCGAUGACCCACGAAAAACCUUACCACGGUUUGAAUAGUUUUACGAAAGUAUUACUACAAGUGUUGCACGGCUGUCGAGUUUAUGUCGUGAGACUUCAGGCCAACCGCCUAAAAAAAAGAAAAUAGACUAAAGCCCUUCCUUUAUUUAUAGAAUAGCGUGGUUAAAAAAUGAAUAGCUAUUGCAAAGUUUAUAUAUUUUGUAUCAUAUAAAGGUGAAAACCUACCUUAUAGCCAAAUGGAAGGUAGGAUAAUAGGGAGUAAGACAAGUCAUCAUGGCCAAUAUACCGUGGGCUAUAGACGUGCCACGUAUUCUUAUACAAAGGGAGGCUAAAUUGUGAAAAAUAGCUAAUCUCAAAAAGUA
rnacentral:rRNA from 1 species